rnacentral:tRNA from 1 species
CCCCUGGUGGCUCAGAUGGUAAAGCAUCUGCCUGCAAUGCGGGAGACCUGGGUUCGAUCCCUGGGUUGGGAA